UGAGACAUAAGAUGUUAACACCCAUAUUCUAAGUCGUUACCUCGAAAGUCCCUCGACUCGAACUCAGUCGAGGAGGCCUCAAGGAAUGACUUGAAAGGAACUCAAGUUUGGUAUUCAUAGUUGUCAGUUUGAGGAAUUCAUGAGGUUCCUCGAAUGAGUGUGAGUCGAGGUAAAACUUAUGAAUUACGUCAUCGUUUGGAGGAAUGCUAACCUUAUUAUUGACGAUUUUUUAUCUGUGGCUUUCAACUUCUUGUGUCAAGUGAUUAGUGAAGUGUAAAAUGAAAGCGAACACAUAAAUAAACAAAUAUUAACGCAGCGUAAUUCGAAUUCCUUAAAUGCACUUGAAAACAAAACCCAUGUUUUGCGCAAAAAAUACUGUGAUAUUUGUGAAGUGGUUGGCUUGGAGAAGAAAAUAUUUUGUUCGCUUCGCAGUAUACAAGUGAAUUCAAUCGUGUGUUGUCCUUAUUGAGCAAUUAUUUAAAAUGACUGCAACUGGAAGACAGCUUUUCAAUGAAGCCGAGAAGAUUUGUCUGCAGGAGUUAGUGAUCAAAUACAAAUUAAAUUCGAUAGCCACUAUGGGGAGCGCAGUGGCUAAAAAAAUCCCUGGCUUAGCCUAACAGAGGAGUACAAUGCCAUAGAAACGAAUUCAAAAAGUACUGAAGCUCAACUUAAAAAAUGUUGGGACCAGGCGUAAAAGUAUGUUGGCCUUAGAGAAAAGGGAAAGGAUGAGGACCGGUGGUGGUUCCUCUAAUGCUUACAUACCUAGUACCUGUACUGGAGGAUGCUCUCGCUGAACAGACAGAUGUGGAGUUGGCAGAUGUAAUCGACAGUGAUAACAUACCUUGUAGUGCAGUAAUCCAAAUUGAUGAUGUGAUGUUGUUACACAUGUCAUCUCAAGUACCAGCAGUUGAACAUGUGUCAGAAAGAGAAAACAUUAUAAACACUCCUCCACAUUUGACAGAGUCCCGGUUGACUGAUUAUAGUGCAGCUCCAUCACAAGAGUCAAGAAAUAUACGGACCAGAGUGAUUCAAGAAGAAUUUCAUAUCCGUCAACAAACAUAUGGAAAAUCUCAGAAAAGGGAAGUGGAGCUGCAUAAGCUCAGAAUAGCUGAGAAGGAGUGGAUGGUGAAGGCAGCAGAGGAGAUUUUUCUCAAAGCCAAAACUGAGAGAGAAGCUGCAGAGGAACUUCUCCUCUGCAAUAGAGCCAAAAGAGAAGAGGCUGAAUUAAGUUUAAGAAUAUUUAAAAAUAAAAAAUUUUGAUAAUUAAUUUAGUAUUAGGUUGUAUGUAUAUGCUUAUUUCAAUUCUAUUGUGUAAUAAAAAACUUUAUUGCUUA